CCUACGGGCGGCUGCAGUGGGGAAUAUUGCACAAUGGGGGAAACCCUGAUGCAGCGACGCCGCGUGAGUGAAGAAGUAACUCGUUACGUAAAGCUCUAUCAGCAGGGAAAAAACACUGACCUUGCGAUCAGCAGACGGUACCUGUGUAAGAAGCACCGGCUAACUACGUGCCAGCAGCCGCGGGAAUACGGAGGGGGCAAGCGUUUUCCGGGUUUACUGGGUGUAAAGGGAGCGUAGACGGUGCGCCAAGUCUGGAGUGAAAUGCCGCAGCUUAACUGCGGAACUGCGUUGGAAACUGGCGAACUAGAGUGCGGGAGGGGUAAGCGGAAUGCCGAGUGUAGCGGUGAAAUGCGUAGAUAUUAGGAGGAACACCGGUGGCGAAGGCGGCUUACUGGACCGUAACUGACGUUGAGGCUCGAAAGCGUGGGGAGCAAACAGGAUUAGAUACCCCAGUAGUC
rnacentral:rRNA from 1 species